CGGCACGCCUAACACAUGCAAGUCGAACGCAGUAGCAAUACUGAGUGGCAAACGGGUGAGUAUAAUGUGGGAAUCUGCCUUUUGGUUCGGAAUAACACGAGGAAACUUGUGCUAAUACCGGAUAAGCCCUUACGGGGAAAGUUUUAAUGCCAAAAGAUGAGCCCGCACUUGAUUAGCUAGUUGGUAGGGUAAUGGCUUACCAAGGCAACGAUCAAUAGCUGUUCUUAGAGGACGAUCAGCCACACUGGGACUGAGAUACGGCCCAGACUCC
rnacentral:rRNA from 1 species